GCCGAGGAUAGUGUGCCCCUGGUGGCUUGUAGCUAUUUACAACUCAUCGCAGUACGUCAAAAACAGAUGGAUUUAUGUAAUCAAUUCAAUCAAUGUGACUGAUUAAUCAUUUCUCUAAUUUGAUUCUAUCAAUAUUUAUGUUCUGGAGCCACUCAGUGAAUCGUGCGACAAUUUGCUUGAUUUUAAUGAUGAAAUUCCUAAAUCCGAUAUUAUUUUUAUUUUUAAUCAGUAUGAGUCAAUCAGUAAUCAGUGGAAAACUUGAGGAUGUAAUGGAGAAACUCAAUAUUACUGAGCCAGUUUUCCCGAUUCCCAAUUGCCCUAAAUUCUGUGACGACUAUUGCGAUUAUUUGGCGGACCUUGAGGGUAAAUGCAGUGGUAAUACGUGUGAAUGCAGCUAAGUGAAAUCCCUGUAGCAUUAAAUUGUCAUCCUAUCAAUAUUUAUGGAUGUGAAAGUCAAUGGUGAGAAUAAAUAAAUCACGUAAUUCGAUAGUAUUACAUCAA